GCUCCGGUGGCCUAGUGGUGAGAGUCCGCUUCGGAUGCGGGAGGUCGUGGGUUCGAUCCCCGGCCGAACCA